ACAAUACAAUAAACAUGACUAAAAUAAUGAAAAUUACCAAUACAAUAAAAAUGAAUAAAGUCAAUAAAAUUUUACAAUACAAUAAAAAUCAUUAAAAUAAAUAAAAACUGACAAUAAAAAUUCAUGAAAUAAAUAAAAUUAUCAGUACAAUAAAAAUAAACAAAAUCAAUAAAAAAUGAAAUAAUGAAAAUUAACAAUACAAUAAAAAUAAAUACAUUAAAAUUGAUAAUACAAUAAAAAUUAACUCAAUGUUUUUCCUCAACAACAUCUCCAUGACUUAAACACAUUGUGGCCAGAACGUUCCACUUUUGUUAAUAUAUCAUAUUGGAUGAACAUUUUAUAAAAAUCACCAGAGGCCUCACUCACAAUUGGAAAACACUCUUUAAAUGUUGUUUUGAGAACGUUCCUACUUUGUAAUCAUAGAACAUAAUCUGUGUUCCUGACUACAUCUUCUGAAUGUUGAUGCUAAAAGAAUCAUAUUAACUUUACAGGAACAUUACUUCAAAUGAAAAUAUUUGUAAAACGUAGUUUAAACAUCAGACUAAAACAUGAUUAGAACCUGCAGCUAAUGUUAGCCAGAGUGGUGGGAACGUUCUCCUGUGGAGCUUCAGAACUUCACCCUCCACUAUGUUUCAUGUUUCAGAAUGGGAAGCGCCUUUAUAGAAGUGGCAGGAAGUGGAUUCAGGCUGAUCCUGGUUCUGGAGAGACCGGUUCCCUCCGGAGGGCAGCGGAGGUUUGCUGGAGGAGGCGGAGGCCAAGCCUCCAUCCAGCCGUCCGUGGAAAGGGGAUCUCUCUUUGAAUUGCCUUUCCCGAGGUUUCUUCCCAUCUUCCAUGGGGAGUUUUUUCUCGUCUUCAUAGAGAGCUUGGGUUGGAUCAAGACCUCCUCAAAAAUAAAACUUCAUUAUAAUAAAUAACACAUCAUGAUAGAUUAUUUCCAGAUUACAUUUAGAGUUACAUCCUGGUUAAUAAGUUGUUUACACAAAACCAAGUUGAACUGCACAUUUUAGAGGACAUUGCACAUUUAUUAUAUAAUGUAUUAAAGAGCUACUUUACAGAUUCAGAUUAAUAAUUCAAAAUAUGACCAAAAAAUAAGCUCUGGUGUAUGAUUAGAUGCUUUUUUUUCCCCUAGUGGAAAUUCACAAGAUGUAAAAUAAAUAUAAAUUGAAGCCAGCCUCGGUUUUACCAGCUGCAAAAUUAAAGUUAUCUACAUGCUAAUGCAUUUAAAAGGUGUAACCCUGUUAUAUAAAAUACACUUUUACAAGUUAAUUAAAUUAGUUAAAUGCAUGGUUGCAAGAUUACAAGCCCAAGGUACUGAUUUAGCUAAACCUUUUAAGUUGCAAACAUUUAUUUAUGUUUAUAUUGUUUUGACAUAAUAACGUUUCACCAACUUAAUAUUGUGAAUAAUUUAAAAUUGGAUUUUUUGCUGGAGUUGAUUUAAAACUAAAUUCAAAUUGAAGUAACUUCCAUCUUCAGUCUGUUCAGACUUCCGUGGACAGUGACUCCAACGAGUUUAGCCUAUUUUUGUCAGGCUUUGCCGUCUGGCAGAGCCGUAUCUAUUGGUUGAAAGCAGAGGAUCUGUACUUGACGGGGGUUUGGGUGGUGCUCAGUGGAGCUUGUGGGCGGAGUCAGUGAGGACUUCACCAGGGGGUUGGGCCCGGGCAGCAAAAGGUCAGGGGUCAUCGCUUCUCGGCCUUUUGGCUAAGAUCAAGUGUAGUAUCUGUUCUUAUCAGUUUAAUAUCUGAUACGUCCUCCAAUGUGAGGACUAUAUAUUAAAUGGAUUUUUAGCACUGGGAGCUGAAAGAGGGGUUUGCUCCUUUCACUCCACGCAUCGACCUGGUACUGCAGUGCUGCCAGGAACGGUGCAUCCUUCUCUGGCCUUGUAGAAUGGAAAUAAAACAAGCUAAUAACAACGCUCUGGCAGAUUGGGCAGUGACCACCAAAGCUGUCAAACAAAGCCAGCAGCACCAGCUGCUUCUGUGGCGUCGUCAUGCUUACGCAACUCAGUUUGAAGAGAGAGUGGUUUUCCUCUUGGCAGUGGACGGCAAAGGUCUUCAGUCACACUAUCCAAGUCAGAUCUUUCUGCACGGGUUUCAGCGAGUUGGAGAAAGAACAGAAGGGUCGAACGGUGAGCUUUCAGUCAUACUAUGGUCUCACAAUGGGUGGAAGUGCAAAAGUAGCUGGUUGGUGGCUCGUGGCCGUUCCACCAUCAGCACUGAGAACACACACAGCCACACAAUUCUGGAAACACAAUGGUGAGACCGGUGAAAGUGAAAAAUGGCUCCUCAAAUGCAGCACAGUACAGGACAAGGCAGCCUGGUGUCACGUUGCGCACAACAAAGCAAGCAUCAUUCUUGCAAAUUCCUUGUCCGUACCCUAGCAGUGGUUGUUCCUUGAGGACAGCGUUGCUCACGGCAGUUAUCCUGUGUGAAAGCUACAUUUGAAACGUUCUUUCUUGACUCAGUUGAGUUCAGUGAAGUGGCCAGAAAAUGUGGCCAGACGUCCUGCGGACCUGUGGGUGGCCCGCUGUUGAGUAUCACUGGGCUCCCACAGUGUCAGGCUGAUUGGAUGAAGCUUCAGUGUGUUGUAUUGUAUGUCUUUAAGGAUGUUUUUAUUUGAGUCAUUUUGUGGUUUAUUUUAUUUUCCAUCUAUUUAUGUUGUUUAUUGUUUUAUUUAGUUAAUUUUGUUUCACUUAUUGGCUAUUUCUGUCUCAUUUAACAUCUCUGUAUUUCAUUUUGGCCAAUUCAUGUUUCAUUCUGCUAAUUUACCUCUUGAUUUUUUUGUCCCAUUUUAAUAAUUUUGUGGCUCAUAUUUGGCCAUUUCGCACCUCUUAAUUACCUUUUUUGUUCUACUUUGUGACUUUUGUUGUAUAUUUUGUUUAUUUUAUAUCCUAUUUUGAUCAUUUUGUGUUUAAUUUUGGCCAUGUUGUUUCUCAGUUUGAUCCUUUUCUAUCUUUCCAUGUUGUUUUUAGUUCCAUUUUGGUCAUUUUGCAUGUGUUUAUGGAUUCUAAUUUUCCAUGUUGGACAUUUUACCCACUUCAGUCAUUUUAUAUGGUUUUAUGUGAUUGUUCUUGUCCCAUAUGGGUGAUUUUGUGCCUCCCUGUGUCUCCACACUUGUGGAAACAAAUCUCACAAACAAAUCAAGCCCUUGUCCUGUAACUUUGUCCUGUGCAGAGACCAUCAGCGACCCUUUAGAGGGCUGCAGUCAGUGAGGAGAGAAGAGGAAAGCUGCUGACGCUGCUGAAGCUCCAACUAAAAAGAGGAGUCUUCAACCGGUGGAGGACAGAGUAGAGCUGUCAGAAGAGGAACAAAGAGCCCAAUUCGACAGCAAAUACGAGCAGCAGCAUCAGCUCAGAGAAGGAGGUUGUGGGUCCGUGUUCGCCGGCCGCCGCAAAUCAGACAGUUUGCUGUUGGUGAUGCUGGGAUACUGAAGGAGACUGAUGUGGACGUCAGGAGGCUGAGCUCUGAUUCCAUUAAAAGGAUCAACUACAGAAGAACCCCGCAGAGUUUAGUUCCAAACAAAUGAUCUCCAGUCCAAGUUGAAGACAUAAAGUGUGAUCUGGAGGGAAGUUGUCAGUGUGAAUGUGUCAGUUCUCUAGUUAACUCACCUGGUUACGUCUCCAUCCUGAUGCUGCUCUGCUGGACAGGAGCUUCUGGACCAGCCGGGUGGACCUUCCUUCACUGAUCUUCCCAGUGGGAGUGAUUCUCAGUUUGCCUUUGUUGACUGCAAACUCCCUAAAAUGGACACUUGAGAGGAGAUUGUGGACAAAUCUAUACAACAGCUUGUUUAGUUUGUCCUGUUCUUAAAUCAGUAGAAAACUGUUGAGUGUUGCUCUAACUCCAUGUGUAUAAAAGCUCCUCCUACUGACCAAUCAGUUCUCUUGAAAACUGUCAUCAGCAUUAGAAGAUCCAGUGGAGCUCAGAGCACCGAUAGAGGAAGCGAAAGAUCAGAGUUUUUAGAGCUGCAAGCAAAGUCAUUUCAUUGUUCUACCUCCUUUGUAUUACAAUAUGAUUUAUGAUUCUAGAUUGUUCCUGUGAGAAAUAUUUGAAGUUGUAUCCACUGACCUGUAGUGUUCCAUACCACAUGAGAGUCAGCUUACUUAUCACUUUGAAUCAUAGUUUGAUGUCUUGCAGCCAGAAGAAUACAGCUGAGAACAUGUUCAUUAAACACAACAUCCAGUUGGAAUUAGAGUCUGAUCUACUUGUGAGCUGAUAAUUUGGUAGUAAUAUUGUUAAUCCUGUUAACUUUCACACAGUCUGCAGUUUUUGCAGCUUUCCCUCCUUCAGCUGCUGCAGCUGUGUUACUGUCAGUCUGUGUUUGGAGUUUAUAAUCUUUGUGUUUCUCUAAUAUCAUCGUUUGCUCUUCAUUUGUAAAACGGGACACUUUGGCUCCAGUAUUGUAAAGGUCCUGAUGAUACUGGGACUAAAUAUGUCGUCUACAUGGAUCAUCUGCUUUUAAAAUGACGCAGCAGCAAACAUCACAAGAAAAAGUCACUCAGAGAGAAUCUUGAACUAAUUGAAUUUAAAACCAGCAGCAGCAUCUGUUGAAGCCUCAGAUUAAAACUUGAAGCUUUUACAGUCUGGAAUCAUUAUUUGAUGUCAACUCCAACAUGAAGGAGUGCAGAGACAACACAGAAUAAACCUACUUUAGUUUGUAUUUGGUUGAAUAAAGCACCAGAAAUGA